GCAAUUAACAAUGAUGAACUCUUUUCCUAUUUAUUUAUGGGAUUUCAUUCCAAUUAUGACUCAAUCAUGACUUUCCUCACGACUCAAGUUGAUGAUCUAACCUUUAAUAAUGUUUAUGCACAUCUCAUGGCUUUUGAGA